GUUUGUCCCCCAGUAUCCUUCAGACAAAGCCAUAUAUGAUUGAAGGUUAUCAGUACUGUGCUUUUGGAGGAUUCAGAAGAAGUUAUAUCUGAUUGGGAGAUUGAAAAGGAUUGGCCUGAAGGAGAGGUGGUUUUUGAACUGCAUCUUAAAGGAUGAGGAAACUGAGGCUGAGAGGGUAGAGAACUUUGCCUGAGGUCACUCAGCAGGGACCCACCCAUCACAGUAAAUGCCAGCACUGCUGAUGCCAAAACAAUGUUAUUUGUAGGCCCUCGGAAUUUGUGACCUGAAGGAAGAAGAGCAGGGCCGUGGGAAGUAUGUAACCAGUGUCAUGCCCCUGGUCCCAAGGAAGCAGUGGCUUGGCCUGAACACCCUGUCCUACCUGGUCCUACCUGGAUGCUGGCCUCAGUAAGCUCCUGGGCUCAUUGAAGAUGAACCUAGCAGUAGUAUUUACACCACUUGUUGUGUGCCCACUGUGGGCCCGGCGCCAUGCCGAGUGCUCUAUGGAUGUGAGAUGAGAACACUGAAGCAGUUUUUUCUAAAGAUAGCUGCCUGGCACAGUGGCUCACAUCUGUAGUCCCAGCAUUUGGGGAGGCCAAGGCAGGUGGAUCACUUGAGGCCAGGAAUUCAAGACCAGCAUGGCCAACAUGUGCUGGGAGAGAAAAGCAUACGACAUAGACAGGGAGGUCAAGCUCCACCACGCAGAUGAGGUGCAGGCCACCAGUCUUCCUCUGCCACAUCUCUUUCUGAAAAGGACUUCACAUUCACCCUUGCAAUCCAUGUGGGGACACUGUUGGAUAGGAGGCGUGGUCCCAGCGUGGUCUCCCUGUCUGGGCCUCUGCCUAUGCCAAAUGUUUGCCUUACGCUGCACACUCAAGAGGUUCCAUGUAUACAGAUGGGAAUUCCAGAGCUACAGAAAAGGCAGCAAGCACCAUGAUUUAAGCUAACCAGUGUGGAUUCACACCUUCCUCUCUCUCUAUCAGUGGCAGAACUACCAGCUAGAGUAAGAAGUGGUUGAUCCAGGACCUAAACAUUCUGGAAACUCUUGCCCACUUCUGGGAGAAAUGACCCAAUCCAUAGUACUAAGCACACCUUAACUUUCGUAGGACGCAGGCAAGUUGUCAUACCGUGUGCCUAAAUAUAGAAAAAUGAUCCACUGGACUAAUAAAGUGUUAAAU
rnacentral:lncRNA from 1 species